GAUGAACGCUGGCGGCGUGCCUAAUACAUGCAAGUAGAACGCUGAAGCUUGGUGCUUGCACCGAGCGGAUGAGUUGCGAACGGGUGAGUAACGCGUAGGUAACCUGCCUCUUAGCGGGGGAUAACUAUUGGAAACGAUAGCUAAUACCGCAUAAAAGUCGAUAUCGCAUGAUAUUGAUUUGAAAGGUGCAAAUGCAUCACUAAGAGAUGGACCUGCGUUGUAUUAGCUAGUUGGUGAGGUAACGGCUCACCAAGGCGACGAUACAUAGCCGACCUGAGAGGGUGAGCGGCCACACUGGGACUGGGACACGGCCCAGACUCCUACGGGAGGCAGCAGUAGGGAAUCUUCGGCAAUGGGGGCAACCCUGACCGAGCAACGCCGCGUGAGUGAAGAAGGUUCUCGGAUCGUAAAGAUCUGUUGUAAGAGAAGAACGAGUGUGAGAGUGGAAAGUUCACACUGUGACGGUAACUUACCAGAAAGGGACGGCUAACUACGUG
rnacentral:rRNA from 1 species